rnacentral:rRNA from 1 species
UCUGGUAUGAAAAGUUUGACGAGAUAUUAACUGUUUCAUAAAAAUUUAUAAUAGAAUUUUAUUUUUUAGUCAAAAAGCUAAAAUAAAUUUAAAAGACGAGAAGACCCUAUAAAUCUUUAUAUUUAGAUAAUUAUAAUUUUGUGGAUUUUUUUUGUUGUGAUUGUUGAUAAUAUUUUAUUGGGGUGAUAUUAAAAUUUAAAAAACUUUUAAUUAAUUAAAUCAUUAAUUUAUGAAUAAUGAUCCGUAU